rnacentral:rRNA from 1 species
UACGUAGGGUGCAAGCGUUAAUCGGAAUUACUGGGCGUAAAGCGUGCGCAGGCGGUGAUGUAAGACAGAUGUGAAAUCCCCGGGCUCAACCUGGGAACUGCAUUGUGACUGCAUCGCUGGAGUGCGGCAGAGGGGGAUGGAAUUCCGCGUGUAGCAGUGAAAUGCGUAGAUAUGCGGAGGAACACCGAUGCGAAGGCAAUCCCCUGGGCCUGCACUGACGCUCAUGCACGAAAGCGU